CAAAUCGUGCGGUGAUGCACGGUUGAACCGUAAGAAGUCAGCAGAGGUUAUAUUACCCGAAAUGGAAGGGC
rfam:Natranaerobius trueperi strain DSM 18760 ZB100021, whole genome shotgun sequence.